UCAACAACUGACAGAACUCCUUUUCUCUAUCGUCACUUUCAAAACCCUAGCGCCGCAGACACAUUUUCUUCAAAAAGAAUCAACAUUAAACAACGAUUUCACAUACGAUUAUGUUCUAUCAUUAACAAGAUUGUCAUCGAUAUAUCAUUUACCAGAUUUUCACUCUCAAAACUCUAUAUUUCAAUCUAAAGAAACUGAGCAUAAGGUAUGUUUUCUUCUCCAUCCUUACUGUUGUAACUUGAAAUUCCUCUGAUGAUUCUAUGAUGUUCAUCUGAAACAUUUUAAAAAGUGAUUUUGUGAUGAUUAUUGGUUUUAGAAAACGUUGAUUCGAAUCUUAUUAACAUCAUCGUUCUUCUUAUUUCUUUUAGAUCCGGUCAUAAAAUUUGCAGGUAUGAUGUUUGUGUUCUAUGUUUAUGUGUUCAUCAUUUAUCCGGUCAUAAAACCCUAAUGUAAUAACAACCGAAUAGCCCAUUAGUUAUUUUUACCACCGCAGUCGCAAGCAUUCAGGUCAAGCUUCGCCGGAGUCGAUCGAACUCCAGUUCAAGAUCUAGCAAUGACCACCGAAGGAUUUCAUUUGUAGGAUUGGCACUAUAUGGUGCGGCAACGACUUGCUAUGUUAGCAGUGCACCCGAACCUAAAAGGGGUGAGCGGGAAAUACUUUCAGGACUGCAAUGAAUACGCAGCAGGCAACUUUGCAACGGAUUAUGAAUUGGUGAAGAAGCUCUGGGACUACAGUCAAAACUUGGUCAACUCUCUUCAACACUCCUGAUGUUGUUUUCUCCUUCUGAUGCGGUCCACUUUAUGUUUUAUUUGGAAUGAACGUCCAGAUAACUAGCGAGGCAACACAGUCCGUGCCCAAACUAUAUUUGCAAAAGUUGCUUCCAUCAUUUCAAAGUCUUUGCUGAUCUCUAUUAUUGUCACUUCAUGGUUGGGAUUCUGGAAUGCACAAUGGGGCUCUUGAGGGUAGGACCUUGAAGUGUUCGCUUUUUGAAUCUAUAAUAGAGAGACAUGUAAUUUCUCUAAUUAGGGAGGUUAACGAGUUAGAUUCGUGUAUGAUGAAAGGUGUGGUGAAUACAUGUAUUAUGAAUACCGACUUGCAGAUUAGGAAAAGGUUCAGGGGAAAUAUGGGGAGUCCAAGUACCAUAUACGUCUCAAGUACCAUAUACUGGUUUGUGCAAUGGCCUUAAAUAAUAAAACUUUUAUAAAUUGCAGGUCCAUCUUGCUUUACACCCUUACAAAUUGUAGGUCCUUGGAGAACAAUAUUCUAAACGGGUCCAUUUCUGCUGGUUUGUGGCAGAACAAGUCAUUUAGUAUAGCCUCAAUACUUCUACCAUAAGAAAUAAGGCAUGAUAUAAUUUCACUUCUGUAUAGAGUUAAAGUUAAUAACUUCAAAUUUUGACUCUUGAAAGCCAAGAGUCAAACCUUAGUUUCAUUAUUUUUACUAAUGUAAAGUUUUAUUGCUUAUAUAUUAACUGUUAUUUUACACAGAGAUUACCAAAAUAACUCCAUUUUAGACAUCAAUGGAAAAUUAAAGUCCACAUGUAAAUGCCAGCCUAAGGUAUGGUGUCUUCCUGUGCUUCUUUAGUGAGAUGUAUGAGUAGAGUUGGGAAGAUGUGUUAGUCGGGCUGGUUCGACAAGGUCGGGUUGGCCAAGAAACCCUUUUUACCAAUAUUUAGUAAAUAACUAAUGUAUUACAUAUGUUUACAAAACAAUAUUAUGCCAAUAAUUUUAAACCUUUAGUUUUGUCCAUUUCAGAAUAGAGAUGAAAAGUAAACCUAAUUCAACCCUUUAUUGUUAAACGGGUCAAAACUGCAUGUGAAUAAUUCUAAAGUAUGCAAAUAAUCUUAAAGUUCAGUGGUGUUAUACCCAUGAUUUUGAACUUGAAAAGCAUGUGAAUAAUCUUAAAGCCUCAAAUUUCCAUUGGUUUGACUUUGUAUACGAGUCAGGUGGGGUUGACUAAAACUAUGUGGCAUUGAUAUUGU